rnacentral:rRNA from 1 species
AGGUUUUCGGAUCGUAAAACUCUGUUGUUAGGGAAGAACAAGUAUCGGAGUAACUGCCGGUACCUUGACGGUACCUAACCAGAAAGCCACGGCUAACUACGUGCCAGCAGCCGCGGUAAUACGUAGGUGGCAAGCGUUGUCCGGAAUUAUUGGGCGUAAAGCGCGCGCAGGUGGUUCCUUAAGUCUGAUGUGAAAGCCCACGGCUCAACCGUGGAGGGUCAUUGGAAACUGGGGAACUUGAGUGCAGAAGAGGAAAGUGGAAUUCCAAGUGUAGCGGUGAAAUGCGUAGAGAUUUGGAGGAACACCAGUGGCGAAGGCGACUUUCUGGUCUGUAACUGACACUGAGGCGCGAAAGCGUGGGGAGCGAACAGGAUUAGAUACCCUGGUAGUCCACGCCGUAAACGAUGAGUGCUAAGUGUUAGAGGGUGUCCGCCCUUUAGUGCUGCAGCAAACGCAUUAAGCACUCCGCCUGGGGAGUACGACCGCAAGGUUGAAACUCAAAGGAAUUGACGGGGGCCCGCACAAGCGGUGGAGCAUGUGGUUUAAUUCGAAGCAACGCGAAGAACCUUACCAGGUCUUGACAUCCUCUGACAAUCCUAGAGAUAGGACUUUCCCUUCGGGGGACAGAAUGACAGGUGGUGCAUGGUUGUCGUCAGCUCGUGUCGUGAGAUGUUGGGUUAAGUCCCGCAAC